UCGAGUAUAUAUACAACUCUACAAAGAGGUAUUGUCUUGGAGACCAAGUUAAGAAAAGAUACGAUAAAUCUAUAAGAUAUGUAAAUAAUAUAUAUUCUCCAUUACCAUCUCCGGCGCUGUUGAUGAAGCCUGAACUCCACUUCUCGCUGUAACCACCGUUGACGACAGAAGCAAACCAGCCGUCAGAUCUUCCUCCGGUGGCUGGGGGAUCCGCCGGAUUCAUCAUCGGUCUGGAGGUUGCUGAGCGAUUCGCUUACUACGGGAUAUCUUCGAAUCUGAUUACGUAUCUGACUGGACCACUGGGGCAAUCGACGGCGGCUGCUGCCGCUAACGUCAACACUUGGUCUGGAACGGCGUCGUUGGUUCCUCUCCUCGGUGCUUUUGUCGCUGACAUGUUUCUAGGGUCGUUUCCGUACCAUCCUCUUCGCCGCCUCUGCUCUCUAUAUAUUGGGGCUUGGUUUACUGACUUUAUCUGCAAUGGUUCCUUCAGACUGCAAUGCUUAGAAAACUACUCUCUUCUUGCUCUCCUCGAUUUCAAGUGAUCAUGUUCUUUAGUGCCCUGUAUCUAGUGGCCCUAGCCCAAGGUGGUCACAAACCCUGUGUUCAGGCUUUUGGAGCGGAUCAGUUUGAUGAAAAAGGAUCCUAAAGAGGCUUUUGGAUAUAGAAUUGCAGGAUGUUCAAUUAUUUUGUCAACACUAUCUGCCUACGGAAAUUGGCUUAUGAACUUUGAAGUUCUCAAUAAUGCGAGGGAUAGAAUUUAUUUCAAA